rnacentral:tRNA from 1 species
UGAAAUUUAUAGUAAAAGGAAAAUCCGUCGACUUUAGAAAUCAUGAGGGU